rnacentral:rRNA from 1 species
AUUGAACGCUGGCGGCAGGCCUAACACAUGCAAGUCGAGCGGAUGAAGGGAGCUUGCUCCUGGAUUCAGCGGCGGACGGGUGAGUAAUGCCUAGGAAUCUGCCUGGUAGUGGGGGAUAACGUCCGGAAACGGGCGCUAAUACCGCAUACGUCCUGAGGGAGAAAGUGGGGGAUCUUCGGACCUCACGCUCUCAGAUGAGCCUAGGUCGGGUUAGCUAGUUGGUGGGGUAACGGCCUACCAAGGCGACGAUCCGUAACUGGUCUGAGAGGAUGAUCAGUCACACUGGAACUGAGACACGGUCCAGACUCCUACGGUGGGCAGCAGUGGGGAAUAUUGGACAAUGGGCGAAAGCCUGAUCCAGCCAUGCCGCGUGUGUCAAGAAGGUCUUCGGAUUGUAAAGCACUUUAAGUUGGGAGGAAGGGCAGUAAGUUAAUACCUUGCUGUUUUGACGUUACCAACAGAAUAAGCACCGGCUAACUUCGUG